CAUUCGUGACUGUCAUGUUGUAGAAGCUGCUGUGGUACCUGUAAAAUAUCUGUGGGUUUUUUUCCUUCCCCCCACUCUUGAACAGUGCAUUUCUCCAGGGCCUGGUCUAAGGGCAGGCAGCUUUCAUCACAGAGAACUACUAGGGCAGCAAAAGACUGAAGCAAACCUGCUGCUCUCUCUUCCCUCGUCUGGGCACUUACGGAAAGCCAGGUUGAUGUCCCUCAACCCUGUGAGAGCCAAAGCUCCCGAUCCUGCCUUCUGUGGCCUCGUCGUAGCAGAGAGGCUCUGGACCAGGCCAGCAUUUCCAGACAAGCCCGUCUCUCCCCACAUUUCGUACCCCUCAAAAAUCCUCCACUACACCUCGCUCUGCUCCCUGGGAGAAGAAGAAGAAGACGAGGGCAGCAAGCUGCAGGAGCGCAGGGACUGCAGAUGAAGCACUAUCUGGACAGCAAUUUGAUUUGCUAGGGCUGGGACAGCUGGGAAGCAGGGAGAACCUGGCCCACCUGGCUGGAUAUCAUGGUAUAAUUGUUCCCUCUCCUGUACCAAUGACAGUGGCUGAGUCGCCAUUUGGCCUUCUCCAGACCCCUACCCCAACGUGAUGGUUUAUGAUUGAAUCCCAAAUACAGAACUUUGGCUCAUAGCAAAUUUUCCUCCUUUUGUCCUGCUGACGCUGCCCAGUGAGAUAUACAGAGGCACCCUGCUCCACAGGUCAGGGCGGCUCCCUUUGGUAGCUAGGAACCUAGACAAAUGGCCAGGAGCAAUGGGGGACUCCUUACAUACUCCCCCUGCUCAGACUGAAGCCUAUAGGACAGGUCUGCCACCACCCACUCAUCUGCCGCAUUAAUACCUGUAGACGUCGCCACAACUGACAGUUUAUUACACAGUCAUAGUGGGGCUUAGCACUUAUCCCUGUUAGAGCAAAACCUCGCCUGUUCCUCUGGGAUGGGAGGAGCCAUUGCGGAGCAGACAAAGAGAGGAACUCUGCACCCCUUUGCUGAGCUUCAUGGCAGUUGCACAUAGCUCUGGGUGGGGUGGUUGGGACUGGGAUUAUGCCUCACUGCUGGCCACAAAUUUCAGAGAGAGAGUGUGGGGACUCCAGGAGACCUGGCUCUGCCACUGGCCUUCUGGGUGACCAUGGGCAGUCACUGCCCUGCUUUGGGCCUCAGUUUCCCCAUCUGUAAAAUGGCAACAAUGAGUCCCUUAGCUCUUUUUUACGAAGCACUUUGAGCGCCCCAGAGGAAAGGGGCUACAUAAGCACGAGGUGGUAAUAGAAAGCUAGCAUGCAAGGAUGGGCUGCAGAGUUGCCUGACACCCGCUCCGAGGGUUCAGGUGUUGAUUCCCUUCCCUCAGCUCCUCUGGCAUUCCCUGCCCCAAGCCCAUUUAGUCAGGCUGCAUGGGGAGAAAAGAGGAAAUUUCACCCAGGUUGAGUGAGCAAUUGGGUGAAUGAUCGUACCAUCCUGGGUCUUCUAUUUAACAAGGCACUGGACUCUGCCACUGUGCCAUGCGACUGCUACGGUGGUCCUUUGCAUUGAGAAGAAGUCGCUCUUCAGUAGCUAGUUUCAUUUUAGUCCUAGAAGGUGCCUGCUGUGAAAGUCUGAUGACAAAUUGUAAUUGUGAUAUGCAUAUGGAUCACUGUCAGGCAAUGACCUUCCCAUUUGAUGGCUAUGUCCGUGCCCUCUCAGAAAGGCGUGCCAUGGAAUUGUGUUGCUGUGAACCUAUGAAUAUUUUAAUCUUCUGCUCCUUUAAAAAUGUCUGGCUGUAAUACUAGAAGGGGGAGGGGGCUGGAAUUCAACUAGCUGUGAGUGAUCCAGGCAUCCAAGUGGAGCUCUUUGAAGAGCAAAGUAUCCUGGCCACUGCACCACGUUUCGAAUAAAAAAAACAAAA